rnacentral:rRNA from 1 species
CGGUUGAUCCUGCCGGACCUGACUGCUAUCGGAUUGAUACUAAGCCAUGCGAGUCAUUGUAGCAAUACAAGGCAUACGGCUCAGUAACGCGUAGUCAACCUAACCUAUGGACGGGAAUAACCUCGGGAAACUGAGAAUAAUGCCCGAUAGAACACUAUACCUGGAAUGGUUUGUGUUCCAAAUGAUUUAUCGCCGUAGGAUGGGACUGCGGCCUAUCAGUUUGUUGGUGAGGUAAUGGCCCACCAAGACUAUUACAGGUACGGGCUCUGAGAGGAGUAGCCCGGAGAUGGGUACUGAGACACGGACCCAGGCCCUAUGGGGCGCAGCAGGCGAGAAAACUUUGCAAUGUGCGAAAGCACGACAAGGUUAAUCCGAGUGAUUUGUGCUAAACGAAUCUUUUGUUAGUCCUAGAACCACUAACGAAUAAGGGGUGGGCAAGUUCUGGUGUCAGCCGCCGCGGUAAAACCAGCACCUCAAGUGGUCAGGAUGAUUAUUGGGCCUAAAGCAUCCGUAGCCGGCUCUGUAAGUUUUCGGUUAAAUCUGUACGCUUAACGUACAGGCUGCCGGGAAUACUGCAGAGCUAGGGAGUG